CGGUUAAGUUAGAAAGGGCGCACGGUGGAUGCCUUGGCACUAGGAGCCGAUGAAGGACGGGACGAACACCGAUAUGCUUCGGGGAGCUGUAAGCAAGCUUUGAUCCGGAGAUUUCCGAAUGGGGAAACCCACCACUCGUAAUGGAGUGGUAUCCAUAUCUGAAUACAUAGGAUAUGAGAAGGCAGACCCGGGGAACUGAAACAUCUAAGUACCCGGAGGAAGAGAAAGCAAAUGCGAUUCCCUGAGUAGCGGCGAGCGAAACGGGACCAGCCCAAACCAAGAGGCUUGCCUCUUGGGGUUGUAGGACACUCUGUACGGAGUUACAAAGGAACGAGGUAGAUGAAGAGGUCUGGAAAGGCCCGCCAUAGGAGGUAACAGCCCUGUAGUCAAAACUUCGUUCUCUCCUGAGUGGAUCCUGAGUACGGCGGAACACGUGAAAUUCCGUCGGAAUCCGGGAGGACCAUCUCCCAAGGCUAAAUACUCCCUAGUGACCGAUAGUGAACCAGUACCGUGAGGGAAAGGUGAAAAGCACCCCGGAAGGGGAGUGAAAGAGAUCCUGAAACCGUGUGCCUACAAGUAGUCAGAGCCCGUUAACGGGUGAUGGCGUGCCUUUUGUAGAAUGAACCGGCGAGUUACGAUCCCGUGCAAGGUUAAGCAGAAGAUGCGGAGCCGCAGCGAAAGCGAGUCUGAAUAGGGCGAAUUGAGUACGUGGUCGUAGACCCGAAACCAGGUGAUCUACCCAUGUCCAGGGUGAAGUUCAGGUAACACUGAAUGGAGGCCCGAACCCACGCACGUUGAAAAGUGCGGGGAUGAGGUGUGGGUAGGGGUGAAAUGCCAAUCGAACCUGGAGAUAGCUGGUUCUCUCCGAAAUAGCUUUAGGGCUAGCCUCAAGGUAAGAGUCUCGGAGGUAGAGCACUGAUUGGACUAGGGGCCCCUACCGGGUUACCGAAUUCAGUCAAACUCCGAAUGCCGAUGACUUAUCCUUGGGAGUCAGACUGCGAGUGAUAAGAUCCGUAGUCGAAAGGGAAACAGCCCAGACCGCCAGCUAAGGUCCCAAAGUAUACGUUAAGUGGAAAAGGAUGUGGAGUUGCUUAGACAACCAGGAUGUUGGCUUAGAAGCAGCCACCAUUUAAAGAGUGCGUAAUAGCUCACUGGUCGAGUGACUCUGCGCCGAAAAUGUACCGGGGCUAAACGUAUCACCGAAGCUGCGGACUGUUCUUCGAACAGUGGUAGGAGAGCGUUCUAAGGGCUGUGAAGCAAGACCGGAAGGACUUGUGGAGCGCUUAGAAGUGAGAAUGCCGGUAUGAGUAGCGAAAGAGGGGUGAGAAUCCCCUCCACCGAAUGCCUAAGGUUUCCUGAGGAAGGCUCGUCCGCUCAGGGUUAGUCGGGACCUAAGCCGAGGCCGAAAGGCGUAGGCGAUGGAUAACAGGUUGAUAUUCCUGUACCACCUCCUCACCAUUUGAGCAAUGGGGGGACGCAGGAGGAUAGGGUAAGCGCGGUAUUGGAUAUCCGCGUCCAAGCAGUUAGGCUGGGAAAUAGGCAAAUCCGUUUCCCGUGAAGGCUGAGCUGUGAUGGCGAGCGAAUUAUAGUAGCGAAGUUCCUGAUUCCACACUGCCAAGAAAAGCCUCUAGCGAGGUGAGAGGUGCCCGUACCGCAAACCGACACAGGUAGGCGAGGAGAGAAUCCUAAGGUGAUCGAGAGAACUCUCGUUAAGGAACUCGGCAAAAUGACCCCGUAACUUCGGGAGAAGGGGUGCUCUGUUAGGGUGCAAGCCCGAGAGAGCCGCAGUGAAUAGGCCCAGGCGACUGUUUAGCAAAAACACAGGUCUCUGCGAAGCCGUAAGGCGAAGUAUAGGGGCUGACGCCUGCCCGGUGCUGGAAGGUUAAGAGGAGCGCUUAGCGUAAGCGAAGGUGCGAAUUGAAGCCCCAGUAAACGGCGGCCGUAACUAUAACGGUCCUAAGGUAGCGAAAUUCCUUGUCGGGUAAGUUCCGACCCGCACGAAAGGCGCAACGAUCUGGGCACUGUCUCAACGAGAGACUCGGUGAAAUUAUAGUACCUGUGAAGAUGCAGGUUACCCGCGACAGGACGGAAAGACCCCGUGGAGCUUUACUGCAGCCUGAUAUUGAAUGUUGGUACAGCUUGUACAGGAUAGGUAGGAGCCUUGGAAACCGGAGCGCCAGCUUCGGUGGAGGCAUCGGUGGGAUACUACCCUGGCUGUAUUGACCUUCUAACCCGCCGCCCCUUAUCGGGCGGGGAGACAGUGUCAGGUGGGCAGUUUGACUGGGGCGGUCGCCUCCUAAAAGGUAAACGGAGGCGCCCAAAGGUUCCCUCAGAAUGGUUGGAAAUCAUUCGCAGAGUGUAAAGGCACAAGGGAGCUUGACUGCGAGACCUACAAGUCGAGCAGGGACGAAAGUCGGGCUUAGUGAUCCGGUGGUUCCGCAUGGAAGGGCCAUCGCUCAACGGAUAAAAGCUACCCCGGGGAUAACAGGCUUAUCUCCCCCAAGAGUCCACAUCGACGGGGAGGUUUGGCACCUCGAUGUCGGCUCAUCGCAUCCUGGGGCUGUAGUCGGUCCCAAGGGUUGGGCUGUUCGCCCAUUAAAGCGGUACGCGAGCUGGGUUCAGAACGUCGUGAGACAGUUCGGUCCCUAUCCGUCGCGGGCGCAGGAAAUUUGAGAGGAGCUGUCCUUAGUACGAGAGGACCGGGAUGGACGCACCGCUGGUGUACCAGUUGUUCUGCCAAGGGCAUCGCUGGGUAGCUAUGUGCGGACGGGAUAAGUGCUGAAAGCAUCUAAGCAUGAAGCCCCCCUCAAGAUGAGAUUUCCCAUUCCGCAAGGAAGUAAGAUCCCUGAAAGAUGAUCAGGUUGAUAGGUCUGAGGUGGAAGUGUGGCGACACAUGGAGCUGACAGAUACUAAUCGAUCGAGGACUUAACCAAUUU
rnacentral:rRNA from 1 species